GAUGAAGAACGUAGCGAAAUGCGAUAAGUAAUGUGAAUUGCAGAAUCCAGUGAAUCAUCGAAUCUUUGAACGCACAUUGCGCCCGCCAGCAUUCUGGCGGGCAUGCCUGUUCGAGCGUCAUUUCAACCCUCGACCUCCCCUUGGGGAGGUCGGCGUUGGGGACCGGCAGCACACCGCCGGCCCUGAAAUGGAGUGGCGGCCCGUCUGCGGCGACCUCUGCGUAGUAAUACAGCUCGCACCGGAACCCCGACGCGGCCACGCCGUAAAACACCCAACUUCUGAACGUUGACCUCGAAUCAGGUAGGACUACCCGCUGAACUUAAGCAUAUCAAUAAGCGGAGA
rnacentral:misc_RNA from 1 species